GGUAGAAGGGAUGGACCUGGCCUUAAGGAUGCGAUCCAUGACAAUUCAGAAUUUACACUUUUACUCUCUAUCUGUACUUGGAUACAUUCUGAUACAUGUGUAUUCUGGAUCGUCAACCUACUAGGCAGCUGAAGUCAAUAAGAAUGAAACAUCCUUUGAGAAUCUAUUCCUAGUGUUAUUAUUCUUAAGCCGCAAAAGAACCAUCAUCUUUUUAAAUAAUGCAAAAGAAAAACGUUGAUGCUAAUAUAUUCCCUUAAAACCCAUCAAUCUUCUCAUUUCCAAAUUGGCGUGCUCUCUGCAUUCUGAUUCCCGCAACAUUUUAUGAUUUCCCUAUAUUCCUUGUCAUAUAAAUACACAUUAAAAAGAAUUUGCAUACUUUUGAUGAGACUGGAUGCUUUGGCUGUUGGUGGGGAACUUAAAUUACUGAAAGGAGGAUCUUCUGCUUUAAUUCACCCCAUUUGUUAUACCAGAUCUCUUUUGCUUUGAUUCACCCCAUUGAAUUUUGACUAUUCUUGAUGAGAUUUGUGAGCUCAAGUAGGUAGCUAAGCCGUAGUUAGUUGCACCUGAUGCUACCCCUGCAUUGACCCUUACACCUUUCCUAUCAAAUCCAAAAUGCAGCAGCUAACUGAGGAGAGCCUACCCUGAGCACAAGGUAUCACUUCAGGCUUUUACAGGGACGAACACUUCAAUGCUGGUUCAAUUCUUCUUGCAUCCGGAGAUUUCAAUGGGUGGAGGCGUUAACAUCUGGUUAUGGACAGGAGAGCUCUUCUUAGGCCCUCAUCUCGUUGCAGGGAAAAGUAAACCAUGACUUCCCUUUACAAGUAACCUGUUAAACGCCAGAUUUCCAAUUUCCUUGCCUAGUAACUCAUAAUUAACCCUUUGCAGGCUUUUUAUGCAGCUAAAAAAUGUCAUUCUUUACUUUUAUUUUUGUGAUGGUCUGCAGUUUUAUGUGUCCGUCCUAUUUUAGUUGGCUUAUGCUGAGUGAUAACAGUGCCGUGUGCACAAGUGCCCGCGCCUAUGGGAGGAAGCACCUAGAAGUCUUCACUUGGUAUUAAUUCAACAAAAUAUUCAGCUCUUAUAUGGUAGAUCACCACAGGACUUGAUACAGUUCUGGAAGUUCUUAGAACCACUUGUGGCCUUAAUCAUCAGUAUUUUAAGAGUUAUUAUAAUGAAUCAGAUAUUUCACUGAAGAUGCAUUGCCAUGCACACAAGGCUGUCAUCAGUGUGGUGACUGAGAAAUGUAAACUCAACAUUGGCAGUCAUGAAAAUUGCUCAUACUGGUAGGAGUCUAUGGUAUAGAAGUUCAAGACUCGCAGUUUCUGUCUUUCUUUCUGAGUAUGUUGGACCGACCUUUUCUCAAUAUUAAUUCCAUCUUUUCCUGAAGUUUCAUAAAA